CAACUACUCCCUCUAUCCCAAAUUUCUUGUCUUAGAUUUGUCUAGAUACGGAUGUAUCUAAUACUAAAAUGUGACUUGAUACAUCCGUAUCUAGACAAAUCUAAGACGAGAAUUUUGGGACGGAGGGGGUACUUU
rnacentral:pre_miRNA from 1 species